UCAGAAACCAUCCUUUCCUCCGCUGAGCUAAAGGAACAAUCAGAUUUUCCCCAGACCUCUGGGAAUGGAGCCAAUCAUUCCAAAUCGAAGACCAACUCUGACCAGUCCUUUCCCAGUCUGUUGGGACUUGCGCUGACCACUGGCUCAGCCCCAGUUCUAAAGCUUCCAUGACCAAAACAGAACCCAGGGUUUGUCUAAAGGUAGCAGAGGAUCAUCCUACCCUCACCUCCAUGAGUGACACUGAUUUGCACCGUGUGGUUCCCGAGGAAAUUUUUAUUCAACCACCAGCAGCAAUACUAUCUCUCCCAGGACCUAUUCUUUCCCUUUGGAAGCCUCUUGUGAAUAAAACUGCUACCAGACCAUGAAUAAAUCAACAUUUCAAUACUAUGUCCUCCUGGAUCUCCUCUUUCUCUUCAGCUCUUCUUUUUUCCCUUAAAUUCCUCCCCAAAUUGUUAUACAGGUGGAUACUUCCCUUUCCACCCCCCUCAUCAAGUCUCUGAAAUAAACUGACAAUAAAUCAUGAUCAGCAGAUGA